GAUGAACGCUGGCGGCGUGCCUAAUACAUGCAAGUCGAGCGAACGGACGAGAAGCUUGCUUCUCUGAUGUUAGCGGCGGACGGGUGAGUAACACGUGGAUAACCUACCUAUAAGACUGGGAUAACUUCGGGAAACCGGAGCUAAUACCGGAUAAUAUUUUGAACCGCAUGGUUCAAAAGUGAAAGACGGUCUUGCUGUCACUUAUAGAUGGAUCCGCGCUGCAUUAGCUAGUUGGUAAGGUAACGGCUUACCAAGGCAACGAUGCAUAGCCGACCUGAGAGGGUGAUCGGCCACACUGGAACUGAGACACGGUCCAGACUCCUACGGGAGGCAGCAGUAGGGAAUCUUCCGCAAUGGGCGAAAGCCUGACGGAGCAACGCCGCGUGAGUGAUGAAGGUCUUCGGAUCGUAAAACUCUGUUAUUAGGGAAGAACAUAUGUGUAAGUAACUGUGCACAUCUUGACGGUACCUAAUCAGAAAGCCACGGCUAACUACGUGCCAGCAGCCGCGGUAAUACGUAGGUGGCAAGCGUUAUCCGGAAUUAUUGGGCGUAAAGCGCGCGUAGGCGGUUUUUUAAGUCUGAUGUGAAAGCCCACGGCUCAACCGUGGAGGGUCAUUGGAAACUGGAAAACUUGAGUGCAGAAGAGGAAAGUGGAAUUCCAUGUGUAGCGGUGAAAUGCGCAGAGAUAUGGAGGAACACCAGUGGCGAAGGCGACUUUCUGGUCUGUAACUGACGCUGAUGUGCGAAAGCGUGGGGAUCAAACAGGAUUAGAUACCCUGGUAGUCCACGCCGUAAACGAUGAGUGCUAAGUGUUAGGGGGUUUCCGCCCCUUAGUGCUGCAGCUAACGCAUUAAGCACUCCGCCUGGGGAGUACGACCGCAAGGUUGAAACUCAAAGGAAUUGACGGGGACCCGCACAAGCGGUGGAGCAUGUGGUUUAAUUCGAAGCAACGCGAAGAACCUUACCAAAUCUUGACAUCCUUUGACAACUCUAGAGAUAGAGCCUUCCCCUUCGGGGGACAAAGUGACAGGUGGUGCAUGGUUGUCGUCAGCUCGUGUCGUGAGAUGUUGGGUUAAGUCCCGCAACGAGCGCAACCCUUAAGCUUAGUUGCCAUCAUUAAGUUGGGCACUCUAAGUUGACUGCCGGUGGCAAACCGGAGGAAGGUGGGGAUGACGUCAAAUCAUCAUGCCCCUCGUGAUUUGGGCUACACACGUGCUACAAUGGACAAUACAAAGGGCAGCGAAACCGCGAGGUCAAGCAAAUCCCAUAAAGUUGUUCUCAGUUCGGAUUGUAGUCUGCAACUCGACUACAUGAAGCUGGAAUCGCUAGUAAUCGUAGAUCAGCAUGCUACGGUGAAUACGUUCCCGGGUCU
rnacentral:rRNA from 1 species